rnacentral:rRNA from 1 species
AUUGAACGCUGGCGGCAUGCCUUACACAUGCAAGUCGAACGGUAACAGGUCUUCGGAUGCUGACGAGCGGCGAACGGGUGAGUAAUACAUCGGAACGUGCCCGAUCGUGGGGGAUAACGAGGCGAAAGCUUUGCUAAUACCGCAUACGAUCUACGGAUGAAAGCGGGGGAUCUUCGGACCUCGCGCGGACGGAGCGGCCGAUGGCAGAUUAGGUAGUUGGUGGGAUAAAAGCUUACCAAGCCGACGAUCUGUAGCUGGUCUGAGAGGAUGAUCAGCCACACUGGGACUGAGACACGGCCCAGACUCCUACGGGAGGCAGCAGUGGGGAAUUUUGGACAAUGGGCGAAAGCCUGAUCCAGCCAUGCCGCGUGCAGGAUGAAGGCCUUCGGGUUGUAAACUGCUUUUGUACGGAACGAAAAGCCUCUUUCUAAUAAAGAGGGGUCAUGACGGUACCGUAAGAAUAAGCACCGGCUAACUACGUG